AUGAACGCUGGCGGCGUGCCUAGUACAUGCAAGUCGAGCGAACAGAUGAGGAGCUUGCUCCUCUGACGUUAGCGGCGGACGGGUGAGUAACACGUGGACAACCUACCUAUAAGACUGGGAUAACUUCGGGAAACCGGAGCUAAUACCGGAUAAUAUAUUGAACCGCAUGGUUCAAUAGUGAAAGACGGUUUUGCUGUCACUUAUAGAUGGAUCCGCGCCGCAUUAGCUAGUUGGUAAGGUAACGGCUUACCAAGGCAACGAUGCGUAGCCGACCUGAGAGGGUGAUCGGCCACACUGGAACUGAGACACGGUCCAGACUCCUACGGGAGGCAGCAGUAGGGAAUCUUCCGCAAUGGGCGAAAGCCUGACGGAGCAACGCCGCGUGAGUGAUGAAGGUCUUCGGAUCGUAAAACUCUGUUAUUAGGGAAGAACAAAUGUGUAAGUAACUAUGCACGUCUUGACGGUACCUAAUCAGAAAGCCACGGCUAACUACGUG
rnacentral:rRNA from 1 species